UACGUAGGUGGCAAGCGUUGUCCGGAUUUACUGGGCGUAAAGAGCGCGCAGGCGGUCGUUCAAGUCGCGUGUGAAAGCCCCCGGCUCAACUGGGGAGGGUCAUUCGAUACUGAUCGACUCGAAGGCAGGAGAGGGCGGUGGAAUUCCCGGUGUAGUGGUGAAAUGCGUAGAGAUCGGGAGGAACACCUGUGGCGAAGGCGGCCGUCUGGGCCGACCCUGACGCUGAGGCGCGAAGGCGUGGGGGAGCGAACGGGG
rnacentral:rRNA from 1 species